GUUGGAAAGAGGAAAAAGAAAGCAUGGUGUUGAAUCCCUGCUUCUAGUACAGGCUGAGUGAGCUGUCACGUCUGCCAGGGAGCCUUCCCCUUCGGCCUGACACUUUUACAAGUGUCAAAUUGUUGGCUUUUGACCCCUUGGAAAGAGAAAAAAAAUAUUAAUAACAAAAGCGUUUACCCUUCCUCCACCCUGUCUCCAGGUACUUCUGCCCUUGCGCUUGGGAGAGAUGCCAGAGGUUGACCCCCAUCCUGCCUAUGUGUGCUCUUUGGGGCAGAAGACCUCCAAUAUUUUAGGAUGGUCCUUGGACUGGGCCCUGCUGACCAGACUUUAGCUGCUUUCUUGAAGAUGUACGGAGCUUCCCAUGAGCCUCUUCUCUAACCAAGACUUGUUUGCCUUUGAACUAGUUGAUGAAUGGGCUAUAACUUACAGUGCAGACCAAAGAGGACUGAGCACCAAUCUGAUCCCCAGAGAAAGUGUGGCUCCUAAGACAAUUUGUUUGGAAGUUUAAUGCCCUGCUGGCUAAAGAACUGCCCUUACCUUUACUGCUGACAGCACAAAUGCUGUCCUUUCUGGACAAACAGGACACAAGGAAAAGCGACUACUGAACUCUGCCAAUACAGGGCUAGUGUGGACAUAUGCAUAUUUUGAGGGGAUUCUGGCUGGUGACAUGAGCUGCAUCUGUACCUGCCAAGUGAUCAAGAGGAAGAACCGUGGCAAAGCUUUGCUGUGUGGUGGGCAGGUAUAUGGAAAGCAUUUUGACGUGUGACGUCCUUAGCUUAUGAUGGUGUCAUCAGGUUCUAAUCCCACCAGAAACUUGGAAGCUUCUUAGAUAUACCUUCCAAUCUGAAAUAAAGCAAAGGGACUGUGGGUGGCUGUCUAGGGCAUUCUAGCAACUCUGGGGAGGGCUCCUCUACAGUAUUCACAAUAAAUCUCCAUCA